UGCAAGUCGAGCGAGAAAUCCGGGGCUUGCCCCGGGUGGACAGCGGCGGACGGGUGAGGAACACGUGAGAAACCUGCCCCGAAGACCGGGAUAACACCGGGAAACCGGUGCUAAUACCGGAUGUCCUCACCGGAUCGCAUGAUCCGGUGAGGAAAUGGAUUCCGCUUCGGGAUGGUCUCGCGGCCUAUCAGCCUUGUUGGUGGGGUAACGGCCUACCAAGGCUUCGACGGGUAGCUGGUCUGAGAGGAUGU
rnacentral:rRNA from 1 species